rnacentral:rRNA from 2 species
CUAUACUGUGAAACUGCGAAUGGCUCAUUAAAUCAGUUAUCGUUUAUUUGAUAGUACCUUACUACUUGGAUAACCGUGGUAAUUCUAGAGCUAAUACAUGCUAAAAACCCCGACUUCGGAAGGGGUGUAUUUAUUAGAUAAAAAACCAAUGCCCUUCGGGGCUCCUUGGUGAUUCAUGAUAACUUAACGAAUCGCAUGGCCUUGCGCCGGCGAUGGUUCAUUCAAAUUUCUGCCCUAUCAACUUUCGAUGGUAGGAUAGUGGCCUACCAUGGUAUCAACGGGUAACGGGGAAUUAGGGUUCUAUUCCGGAGAGGGAGCCUGAGAAACGGCUACCACAUCCAAGGAAGGCAGCAGGCGCGCAAAUUACCCAAUCCCGACACGGGGAGGUAGUGACAAUAAAUACUGAUACAGGGCUCUUUUGGGUCUUGUAAUUGGAAUGAGUACAAUUUAAAUACCUUAACGAGGAACAAUUGGAGGGCAAGUCUGGUGCCAGCAGCCGCGGUAAUUCCAGCUCCAAUAGCGUAUAUUAAAGUUGUUGCAGUUAAAAAGCUCGUAGUUGAACCUUGGGCCUGGCUGGCCGGUCCGCCUCACCGCGUGUACUGGUCCGGCCGGGCCUUUCCUUCUGGGGAUCCCCAUGCCCUUCACUGGGUGUGGCGGGGAACCAGGACUUUUACUUUGAAAAAAUUAGAGUGUUCAAAGCAGGCCUUUGCUCGAAUACAUUAGCAUGGAAUAAUAGAAUAGGACGUGCGGUCCUAUUUUGUUGGUUUCUAGGACCGCCGUAAUGAUUAAUAGGGAUAGUCGGGGGCAUCAGUAUUCAAUUGUCAGAGGUGAAAUUCUUGGAUUUAUUGAAGACUAACUACUGCGAAAGCAUUUGCCAAGGAUGUUUUCAUUAAUCAGUGAACGAAAGUUAGGGGAUCGAAGACGAUCAGAUACCGUCGUAGUCUUAACCGUAAACUAUGCCGACUAGGGAUCGGGCGAUGUUAUUAUUUUGACUCGCUCGGCACCUUACGAGAAAUCAAAGUCU